CAGCCGCCGCGGUAACACGUAGGUCCCGAGCGUUGUCCGGAUUUAUUGGGCGUAAAGCGAGCGCAGGCGGUUAGAUAAGUCUGAAGUUAAAGGCUGUGGCUUAACCAUAGUACGCUUUGGAAACUGUUUAACUUGAGUGCAAGAGGGGAGAGUGGAAUUCCAUGUGUAGCGGUGAAAUGCGUAGAUAUAUGGAGGAACACCGGUGGCGAAAGCGGCUCUCUGGUCUGUAACUGACGCUGAGGCUCGAAAGCGUGGGGAGCAAACAGGAUUAGAUACCCCAGUAGUCCCUGUCUCUUAUACA
rnacentral:rRNA from 1 species